GUGGUCCUGGUUCUUAUAAGCCACAAAGUGGUGGAUGAGUGCAGGGACUCGGGGUUUGAAGGGGUCCGCGUCCUGGUGCGGUCCAUACCUGAGCAGGGAGAAGCUCCUGUGAGGACCGGGUCUGGGGUGCAGAGGUGGUGCGGCCUGAGAGGAGCCACGCUGCUUGGCACUUGUGUAGAGUCCAAGGUUAAAAUCCUAUCUCCAGAGCUCUACUAAGAUUUUCACCACUUCAUAUCUACAAUCAUGUUGGUUUGUUCCAUACAAACCAUACGCUCCUGUGAAAGUAAGGAGAAUGUACUGGGUGGUGACAGUACCUGGCUCCAACCAGUGACAGAAAGGGUCUCUUGUCCUUGUCGUUGGCCUGGGUCGUCUUCACGCCAUUAUCAAGGAUGAUUCCAGCCUUAAACCGAGAGAAGAGAUGAAUAAACAUCUGUCUGUCUGUC